GCCCUGGAAUCUCUUCCUCCGCCCAGCCCUCUUCUCAGGUCUCAAUGAUGCUGACCAUCUUGCCCAUGGAGCGGCUGGCAUCUUCUUCCUUAAUGGAUCCUCUUCCUGCUGUGUGAGUCACGUAAGCUCCCCGCACUAGGUUUUCUGCUUUCUUGUGUCCCACUCUUUUUAUGCAGUGGCUUCCUCUUCUUUCAUCUGUCUGAAAGGAAACAAAAACAUUCGCAACUCUUCCUUCUUGUCUUUUAUGGUUUGUCUCUGUGACCAAAGACAGAGAAGACCAAAGAGAACUCACGUGCAUGUCUCAUACAUGUAGGUGAAACCUGGAGCUCUGAAGCUCGAAGGGGUGGUUGAAACUUGGGUUUGAAUUUCAACAAAGGAGAAGGAGCUUUGGGGUUGCUGGGGAGGGGAGCCAAGCUAGGGAAGGGAACCAGGAAGAGAACAGACAGUAAGUUUUGCUUUGCACAAUUUUUCACAUUACUAAGAGUCUCCAGGGAUUGAGAGAGGGUUACCCUUAGGAGGAGAGAUUUCUUUUAUAAAUGUAGAUUUCCCUUAGGAGUUUUUCUGGUAUCUGCUGUUUCUCAAAAUCAUCAGCUUUAGAGGAAGCUUGUGUCCAUUACACACCCCGAGGCUGUCUAUCCUGGUCUUCUAGGUCCCCAGUGCCUUUCCGUUCCUUUAAUCCCCCUCCUGUGUAGUCUCUCCUCUUCUUGUUUGCCGUGAGGGGGGCUCUGUGGCCUCUCCUAAGGAAAUCAGGAGUCAGUCUGUACACCAAACAAACUCCCUGUUUCUGGGAAUUUCUGCUUUUUAGAAGCAAAACUGGGUAGCUCUCUUUUACUUCAAAACGUCCAAAGUCACAGCUGGUGACAGAGCCUGCAGGGAGCAGCUGCCUCAGUUCAAAGACUGUAUGCUGAUCAGCACCCUGGAGAGACCAGAGAAAAUAGACCUCAGGGCUCUUAACCCUCCACAUGGGGGUGAUAUUUCCCAUUGUCCGUUUAAAUUUUGAUGAACAGCAGAGAGUGGCCGAACACUUGGCUCGCUGAAGAAUGACAGCGCCAGUGUAAAAUUGAUAGAGAAGGUGCUGUUUUUGUUAACUGAGUUUUAGGACAAAAGCCCUCCCUCUUGGAGUCCCAACGGACUAGGCUUGGCGGCUCAUCCCAACUGGCCAAUUACAUGAGCUGUGAGGAGUAGAGAAAGGAGAUUUAAGGUCGAUAUGAGGGUCCAGUGGGUACCCACUGGGUGUUCCAAGUCCUUGUGUCCCAGAACAAGGGAUUAGUGAAAAAAAAAAAAUUCAGGACAUUUAUAUCCUGGUGUUUUGGACAUUUACAUUCCAAUAUGCCGGCUUGUCCCGGCAAACUUCCCUGUGCAUUCUCUAUUACCAGCCUCUGUGGGUGAAGGUUUCUAAUCUUUCUGCAAAUUAGUUGUUUUCAUAUGCUCUUUCAGCCUAAUUUUUCUCUUUACUCUCCUUCCAUAAGGUACCACUGAUGGGAAGAAGAACCACUAAAGGGGCUAGAGUCCCAAGUCCCUCUGCGAGGUACUGAAGUGAGCUGUAGGUUUAAGUAGAGAAAGAACUGAGGUGGAGUCUGAGAUGGGUGCAUAUUAGGUAACCUUGAUCAAAGGGCGGUCUAGCUGAUCAUUACUUCAGUUCUGGAUCUGCAAAGUGGUCUGAGGCAAUCGUUAUCAUGGUCAUGGAGUGAGAGGGGGCCAUCUGUUCCAUAGGUGAUUGCUUCUGCUCUGGCAUGCAGCCUGGCCCUUGGGGCUCACUGCCCUUAUUUGGGGGCAGUGGUCUGCUCUGUGAGGCUUUGCUCUUUCUGGAACUCAAAGUUGCUGGAGGUUUAGAACUGUGACUCUUAUUUUUAUGUCUUCAGCCUUGAAGGAGGAAUGAGAUGGUCUAAGCAUUACUGGUGUUGAGACUCUUUGAGUGAUUAGCAUACCUACAGCAGAGUCAUGUAGGGGACUCAUGGAAAAAGAGACAGAUACAAGAUGGAGGCAGAGAUGCCAGGCUUUGCCCCGGUAUGUUUAGUUACAUUGUAGGCUCAAGUGAAGGGUCAGUGCAUUUCUACAAAAGCCAUUUCUAAGUUGUUAUGCCUGACAGAGUCUUCUACCACCACAGCCGUGAACAGUCUUGGCCAAAACGAAUGAAGAGUAAAUGACUCCUCAGUAAGGAUAGGAAAUCCCAGUCUUGUUGUGGGACAUGUAACUAUGUAAAGAUGUGCUACAUUUGUUUCUGCUGUGGAAUAUUACUUUAACUAUGUAAAGGUUAAAGUGUUACAUUUGUUUCUGCUACCUUUGUUUAAUGGUACAAGGAUGUGUUACAUUUGUGUAGUGGGUAGCCAUUCCAGCUUUGAUCUGGAAGUUCCAACCCCCAUUGAGACUUCGGCAACUGUCACGCCUACAAGGCGGGGCGAAGGGAGGCGCCGGGGGACCCGAGAUCUGGAUCGGCAGGCGCUCUCUCUGUUGCGGGACCCUGGACUGGAGAGGUGAACCGAGCAGAGCUCCAGAGAACACCGCUGGACUGUGAUACACCUUCCCCAGACUCCGCGACCUUCCUAUUCCUUAAUUUAACCCAACUGAGGCCCAAGGAUAGCCUUUGAAAACUGGCGCUCACAAGAUCCAUUUGGCGGGACGGGCAUUGAGCAGCAGUACUUGAGAGCUGGCCUCAUCAAAGGUUCUUAUUAUUAAGUCGGACUAGAACAUCCUUUCUCACAAGUCCUUGGAGUAAUGGAUUCAAAGAGCUUAAACAACUUCAGAAACAGAGACUUCAAAGGAUGAAAGACAGCACUGGGGCUUUGUCUCCUGUCUUUUUAUCUACCACCCCCAAAUUAAAAGCCAGAAGCUUGACUCGGCUAGCAGACACGCGGCUGAAACAAAGAUCACAGACCAUCAAGGGUAAAUGCCUCCACACUGUAGGCCAGUUGAUGGAAAGGUCAAGAUUAUGGACUUGUUAGAGAAGAGAAUGGAUGGGAAAUAUGUCUUUAAAUUACAGGGUAAGUGAAGAGUUGGUCUUCUUUGACCCAAGUAGUGUUUCAAUUUCUGAUAAAACUAGCAGUAACAAUGUAACUAUGGUGUAAGCUUUAUUGAGUGCUGCUGGCUAGUGCAGUACUUCCUGCUUUGUGUAUUUGACCUUCACAACCACUCUGUGGAGUGUCUUGUGUUAUUUACCCAUGUUGUCAAGGUGAGUGCAUUAGUGUCACCGUUUGUGUGCCUACCAGCAGGUGGAAUCUGUAGCCAUGUGGUCGCGGGAGUGUUGUGCUGCUUUGUGGGGUUAUUUUGUGCCUUGUCCAUCUCCGGAGAUGGCACUUUGCAUGUUGUAUUUUGCUUUGGUGUUUGUAAUACAUGCCAAGUAGCCACAGCCUCAUUCAACACUGCCUUUAUCAUUUUACUGUAGAAGACCAAAUAGGUCACUCCAAAUAUGCCAUUUUGGCCCAAGGAUUAUUUUGAGCAAAGGCAAUCGAGAAGAAACAGAUACAAAAUCA